AAAGUUCCGUAACAAGGUCUCCGUUGGUGAACCAGCGGAGGGAUCAUUACAGAGUUGCAAAACUCCCAAACCAUUGUGAACGUUACCCAUCCCGUUGCUUCGGCGGGCGGCCCGGGCCCCGUGCCCGGCGCCCCCCGGCCCCUCGCGGGCGCCCGCCGGAGGUAAACCAAACUCUUGAAUUGUAUGGCCUCUCUGAGUCUUCUGUACUGAAUAAGUCAAAACUUUCAACAACGGAUCUCUUGGUUCUGGCAUCGAUGAAGAACGCAGCGAAAUGCGAUAAGUAAUGUGAAUUGCAGAAUUCAGUGAAUCAUCGAAUCUUUGAACGCACAUUGCGCCCGCCAGUAUUCUGGCGGGCAUGCCUGUUCGAGCGUCAUUUCAACCAUCAAGCCCCCGGCUUGUGUUGGGGACCUGCGGCUGCCGCAGGCCCUGAAAACCAGUGGCGGGCUCGCUAGUCACUCCGAGCGUAGUAGUUACAUCUCGCUCAGGGCGUGCUGCGGGUUCCGGCCGUUAAAAAGCCUUAUUUACCCCAAGGUUGACCUCGGAUCAGGUAGGAAGACCCGCUGAACUUAAGCAUAUCAAUAA
rnacentral:rRNA from 1 species